rnacentral:rRNA from 1 species
GACGAACGCUGGCGGCGUGCUUAACACAUGCAAGUCGAACGCUGAAGCUCAGCUUUUGUUGGGUGGAUGAGUGGCGAAAGGGUGAGUAACACGUGAGUAACCUGCCUCCUUCUUUGGGAUAACGCCCGGAAACGGGUGCUAAUACUGGAUAUUCACUGGUCUUCGCAUGGGGGUUGGUGGAAAGGGUUUUUCUGGCGGGGGAUGGGCUCGCGGCCUAUCAGCUUGUUGGUGGGGUGAUGGCCUACCAAGGCUUUGACGGGUAGCCGGCCUGAGAGGGUGACCGGGCACAUUGGGACUGAGAUACGGCCCAGACUCCUACGGGAGGCAGCAGUGGGGAAUAUUGCACAAUGGGCGCAAGCCUGAUGCAGCGACGCCGCGUGAGGGAUGGAGGCCGUCGGGUUGUGAACCUCUUUCGCUCAUGGUCAAGCCGCAACAAUGGUUGUGGUGAGGGUAGUGGGUAAAGAAGCGCCGGCUAACUACGUG